GCCGUUAUUUUGUCGUUUUCUGCGAUGUUGUGCAGAAUUGAAACAGUUAGCGUACUUGAGAAAAUAGCAAACCAGUUAGCAUACUAAAAUAAGUAAAAAACUAGUUAGCAUACCAGGAAAACUUUUCUGCAUAACUUUCAAAACUAUAAAACUUCACACCAAAUCAUAGUUAAACAUUUUUUUUUUUAGGCCAAUAAUCAUGAUGUUUCAAAGAAAAAUCAUUUGAGGGAUUGAAAAUAAGGAUCAUUGACUUUUACUCCUCAAUUCUUUUCACAAGUAAUCCUAAGAAAUAAAACUAACUCUAAUACUAUAUGUACCUUCAAUUCUGAUGUUCAAUGCAGCCUUGGAAGGUAACCUUUUCUUCUUUUAUCUCUUUUGCUUCGUCUUGUGUUAUCCUUAGAAUGUCAUCCUUUCUUCAUAAGCACGAAUCCAUCAUGAAAUCCUUUUGUCCUUUUUCUUUGAGAUACACAACACUUAAAACAAUGUUAGUUUGAUUCUAGUUGAGUUUUAGUAUCAUCAAAAUCUAUGCUCCUUUGAGCUUGUGGGGUCAACAAUUUGUAUCUCUAAACUCUUGUUUCUUUUACUUUUAAAUUAUAUUGUAAAUAUAUGAAGUAUUUACAUUUGCGAUAGUGCUUCAUCUUUGUUUGUGAUCAAGUCCUAAGAAAUUUUGCUCAUGAUGGAACGAUAGUUGUUUUCUCUGUUCACCAACCCAAUUUCGAUGUCUGUGAUCAGCCGCUGUUUACUCUGGAGAAGCAAAGAUGGCUACAAAGGGGCUUCCAGAAUCAUCAGAUUCUUGAGUCAACAUCAGAGAUCAAAUCAGUGCUUGUCGAGAAAUACCAGGCUUCUACAUUCAACAAAAACAAGGAAAAGAUUGCAAGAAAUCACGUGCACUAUAUUGCAGGAAGAACAUAUCAAUGAAUCAAACACAAGUUAUCCCAGCUGGUGGAAGCAGUUAAGCACAUUGACUCAUUGUUCAUUCAUAACAUGUCCAGAGACUUGGGUACUAUUGGAUGAGAAUGUUGUUCUACAUUAUGGUAUGCAUAGGUGCUGGGCUCUCUUUGGGAGAGGAGGAUGUGCUGGGUUUCUAUAUGGCUUCAUCUCUUGAAGGCUUACCUUUUGCCAUGGAGGAAAAAAAAAGAGUGGAAGACUUUAGUCUAUGGGUCUUUCAUAGACUCUCAGUUUGGACGUCCUCAUCCACUUUCCUUUUGGUUUGCUCCACCUGAGAGUGUGAAACCGAACAUCUAUGGCUCUUCGUGAGGGAAACCUGGUCCUUGUUCCAUUGGGGGUGUUCUCUGUGAUCACAGAGGUUUAUAUAAACGUGUCUUUUCCAAGUGAUGCAAAUUUGGCUGCGGAUUGUUUAGCUAAGCAGGGUCACUCUCACAUGUCUUCAUGGCUUUCUUUUAGAAUAGUCUUUUCUGAUUUCCUAUGAUUUGAAUUUAGUUGAAUUGUACAUUUUCUUUUUGGGUUCUUAUUGGGGUGAGGCGUUUGCUGCUUUAGGUCCGAUCUUGU